AAAGUCCUCACCCUGAAAUCGCUUCCGUAUUUACAACUGUUACAACUGUUGUUGAAGACAAGGACACACAUUUGUCUACCGGAACAUUAGAUGCACCAUCAACAAAUGAGCAACUUUAUAAGCAGAUCAUCAUUCCGAUUUGUUUGUCUGUGGUACUAUUUGUGUUCGUAAUAGUUACAAUACUAUUCAGAAGACAGUUACAAGGAUCCGAAUCGCAGAAUACAAACGACACGGAUGGGAAAGCGACAGCAUUCUGUGAUAAAACAUAUCCAGCAAAUGCAACGGCGUCUUGUGAGUGUCGUACAAAUUGUUUUUGCAAUUUCGUAGUUAACAGAAGG